rnacentral:tRNA from 2 species
GCACCUGUGGCGGAACUGGCAGACGCGUUAGAUUUAGGAUCUAAUUUCGAGAGGAGUGCAGGUUCGAUUCCUGUCAGGUGCACCA